UGGAGCAAUCCAUGAGUAGAGUGGCAAACGGGUGAGUAACGCGUGGGUGACCUGCCUUCGAGCGGGGGAUAACGUUUCGAAAGGAACGCUAAUACCGCAUGACAUCCUGCCUUUGAAGAGGUGGAGAUCAAAGCUGGGGAUCGCAAGACCUAGCACUUGAAGAGGGGCCCGCGUCUGAUUAGCUAGUUGGUGAGGUAACGGCUCACCAAGGCGACGAUCAGUAUCCGGCCUGAGAGGGCGGACGGACACACUGGGACUGAGACACGGCCCAGACUCCUACGGGAGGCAGCAGUGGGGAAUUGUUCGCAAUGGGCGCAAGCCUGACGACGCAACGCCGCGUGGAGGAUGAAGACCUUCGGG
rnacentral:rRNA from 1 species